rnacentral:rRNA from 1 species
ACUCAAAGGAAUUGACGGGGGCCCGCACAAGCGGUGGAGUAUGUGGUUUAAUUCGAUGCAACGCGCAGAACCUUACCUGGCCUUGACAUGUCUGGAAUCCUUGAGAGAUCAGGGAGUGCCUUCGGGAACCAGAACACAGGUGCUGCAUGGCUGUCGUCAGCUCGUGUCGUGAGAUGUUGGGUUAAGUCCCGCAACGAGCGCAACCCUUGUCCUUAGUUGCCAGCGAGUAAAGUCGGGAACUCUAAGGAGACCGCCGGUGACAAACCGGAGGAAGGUGGGGAUGACGUCAAGUCCUCAUGGCCCUUACGGCCAGGGCUACACACGUACUACAAUGGUCGGUACAGAGGGUUGCCAAGCCGCGAGGUGGAGCCAAUCCCAGAAAACCGAUCUCAGUCCGGAUCGGAGUCUGCAACUCGACUCCGUGAAGUCGGAAUCGCUAGUAAUCGCGGAUCAGCAAUGCCGCGGUGAAUACGUUCCCGGGCCUUGCACACACCGCCCGU